rnacentral:tRNA from 1 species
UCUUCAGUAGCUUAGUGGUAAAGCGAGCGGUCAGCUGUUAACAGAUUGGUUGUAGGUUCGAAUCCUACUUGGGGGU